rnacentral:snoRNA from 1 species
UUGUCCUGGCCUGUGCUUUUGUGCUCCCCUGUGCUCAGUUCAGCAGGGUGGUCUGGCAGGACACACAGCACUCUCCCUCUCAGUUUAGGAGGGCCAUCCUAAGAGUAGGGCUGGCUCUUAAAGGCACGAGAGGACAGU